rnacentral:rRNA from 1 species
GACGAACGCUGGCGGCGUGCUUAACACAUGCAAGUCGAGCGGUAAGGCCCUUUCGGGGGUACACGAGCGGCGAACGGGUGAGUAACACGUGGGUGACCUGCCCUCAGCUCUGGGAUAAGCCUGGGAAACCGGGUCUAAUACCGGAUAUGACUCCAUGACGCAUGUUGUGGGGUGGAAAGCCUUGUGCGGCUGAGGAUGGGCCCGCGGCCUAUCAGCUUGUUGGUGGGGUGAUGGCCUACCAAGGCGACGACGGGUAGCCGGCCUGAGAGGGCGACCGGCCACACUGGGACUGAGACACGGCCCCAGACUCCUACGGGAGGCAGCAGUGGGGAAUCUUGCGCAAUGGGCGAAAGCCUGACGCAGCGACGCCGCGUGAGGGAUGACGGCCUCGGUG